rnacentral:rRNA from 1 species
GUGGGGAAUAUUGGGCAAUGGGGGCAACCCUGACCCAGCGACGCCGCGUGAGGGAAGACGGCCUUCGGGUUGUAAACCUCUUUUGUACGGGAAGAAGGAAGUGACGGUACUGUACGAAUAAGUCCCGGCUAACUACGUGCCAGCAGCCGCGGUAAUACGUAGGGGACGAGCGUUGUCCGGAAUUACUGGGCGUAAAGGGCGCGCAGGCUGUGCUGCAAGUCAGCUGUGAAAUGUCUGGGCUUAACCCGGGCAUGCGGUUGAGACUGCAGUGCUGGAGUGCUGUAGAGGCAAGUGGAAUUCCCAGUGUAGCGGUGAAAUGCGUAGAUAUUGGGAAGAACACCGGUGGCGAAGGCGACUUGCUGGGCAGCAACUGACGCUGAGGCGCGAAAGCCAGGGGAGCAAACGGGAUUAGAAACCCGUGUAGUCC